rnacentral:tRNA from 1 species
GGGGUUGCGGCUCAGUGGUAGAGCACUUGCCUGAGCAUGUGUGAGGUACUGAGUUCGAUUCUCAGCACCACA